rnacentral:tRNA from 1 species
AAUAGAGAGAAGUUGGUCAACCAAAAGGUCGAGCAAGGGAUUAGCCGAGAGGUUAAAGAGUAGAAGUCUUUCAAACUAUUGCCUAGGCGAGGUAGAAGGCAAGGGCUAUUAGCUCAGCUGGUUAGAGCGCACCCCUGAUAAGGGUGAGGUCUCUGGUUCAAGUCCAGAAUGGCCCACCUAACCAAAAAAGCCAAAGAGAAGGAUAAACCCUUCAGCAUCCUGUCUGAUGAGAGUCAGAGGGAAUGCUGGAUGUAAGUCCAGUAAGGACCUUGAAAACUGCAUAAAGAAAAGAGAAAGCAGGGAAAAUCUUGCUCUUCCUAACCGUUUUGAUGUUAACCACAAGGCUUUUGGCUGAGUGUGAGACUGAAGGGCGGUGAAGGUAGGAGGAAAGAUGAUCCUAGUUAGCAAAAAGAAGAUCUUAAAAAGGUCAAGCUACAAAGGGCUAACGGUGGAUACCU